GACGUAGGGGGCCAGCGCUGCUCGGAAUUACUGGGGGUAAAGGGUUCGUAGGCGGUGUGGCAAGUCGGGAGUGAAAUCUCUGGGCUCAACCCAGAGUCUGCUUCCGAAACUGCUGUGCUUGAGUGUGGGAGAGGCGCGUGGAAUUGCAGGUGUAGCGGUGAAAUGCGUAGAUAUCUGCAGGAACACCCGUGGCGAAAGCGGCGCGCUGGACCACUACUGACGCUGAGGAACGAAAGCUAGGGGAGCAAACAGG
rnacentral:rRNA from 1 species